GUCUCCAAGCUAUGAUGGAGACGCGGCGUACAGCUCAGUAACACGUGGCUAACCCACCCUUGAGACGGAGACAACCCCGGGAAACUGGGGCUAAUCCCCGAUAGGAGAAGACACCUGGAAGGGGUCUUCUCCCAAAAGGCGUUUAGAUCAUGCUUCUAGACGUCGCUCAAGGACGGGGCCGCGGCCGAUCAGGUUGUUGGUGAGGCAAUGGCUCACCAAGCCUAUAACCGGUACGGGCCGUGAGAGCGGGAGCCCGGAGAUGGGCACUGAGACAAGGGCCCAGGCCCUACGGGGCGCAGCAGUUGCGAAAACUCCGCAAUGCACGAAAGUGUGACGGGGCUACCCCGAGUGCCGUCCGCUGAGGGCGGCUUUUCCCCGGUGUAAGGAGCCGGGGGAAUAAGGAGAGGGCAAGUCUGGUGUCAGCCGCCGCGGUAAUACCAGCUCUCCGAGUGGUAGGGAUGAUUAUUGGGCUUAAAGCGUCCGUAGCUGGCCUAGCAAGUCUUCCGUUAAAUCCACCGAUUCAAUCGUUGGACUGCGGGGGAUACUGUUGGGCUUGGGGACGGGAGAGGCCGACGGUAUUCCCGGAGUAGGGGUGAAAUCCUAUAAUUCCGGGAGGACCACCAGUGGCGAAGGCUGUCGGCUAGAACGAGCUCGACGGUGAGGGACGAAAGCUGGGGGAGCGAACCGGAUUAGAUACCCGGGUAGUCCCAGCCGUAACGAUGCGG
rnacentral:rRNA from 1 species